GACGAACGCUGGCGGCGUGCUUAACACAUGCAAGUCGAACGAAGUGGCGAACGGGUGAGUAACGCGUAAUCAACCUGCCCUUCAGAGGGGGACAAUAGUUGGAAACGACGGCUAAUACCGCAUACUGAAGGUGGGGAUUGCGUCUGAUUAGCUAGUAGGAGGGGUAACGGCCCACUAAGGAGAGGAUCAGUAGUCGGUCUGAGGGGAUGAACGGCCACAUUGGGACUGAGACCAGGCCCAGGCUGCCUCGGGAGGCAGCCAGGGGGAAACUUCCGCAAUGGACGGAAGUCUGACGGAGCAACGCCGCGGGCGGGGUGACGGCCUUCGGGUUGUAAAGCUCUGUUAAGCGGGACGCGGUACCGGAAUAAAAAGCCACGGCUAACUACGUGCCAGCAGCCGCGGUAAUUC
rnacentral:rRNA from 1 species